UUGUCAGUUGCGCCUUCAGCCCUCCCCGAGGAAUGCACUGGGGGCCGUCGCAGGGGCUGGGGCAGAGCAGGGGGCAUGAGACCUGUCCCUCACCAGCUCCCAUGCUGCGGGAUCCAAGUGCCUGCUCCCAGGCCUCUGCACACACACCACACUGUUCCCUCUGCUUUGCCUGCUGUGCCCUCUGGGCUUCUUUCCCCUGGGAAAAAGCCUCUUUACAUUUCAAGGCUGGUCCCUCAUUUCCAGCAGAAAACUGUUUUCCUGGACUGUCUUUUUCUUGGCUUACGGAUUUGUGACUGCACUUUCCCAAGAAGUGUUGAAGCUCGGCUCACAUUUUUGUGUGGAGAACCAGCUAACCCCUUCCUCAAAGUUUUUGUGAGGAAAAGUAAUUUAAAUGUUUGAAAAAGAGUUGUAACCUGGUAAAGUGCCUCCGAAGGCUGCUGAGUGCCUCAGAGAGCAGGUACCGCGUGCUUGCUGCGUGUGGGUGUUCGGGCCAGGUACUUUGGGGUUAUGUGUGUCAACGUGACCUGGUCCCUACCUGCCAUCACCUGGGGGGGGGGCUGUGAACAAUUCCUGUCAGUGUUGAUAGGAGACAGUGAGACUGUGCCAUCAACGGUAGUCUCCGUGACCCUGGACCCUCAGAACAAGCCUGCGAAGUAGGUACUAUCAUAUUACCUUCUAUGAGUAUCCCCAUUUAACAGAUGAGAAACUGAGGCCCAGAGGGAUGAAGUAGCUUGUCCAGGAUCAAAUACAUAGCAAAUACUGGAACUGGGAUUUGCAGCUGGCAAUUGAGAAGGAGGCUGGAAUCCAGAGAAGAGGGUUCUGGAGUUCAGAGGGGAGUCCAGCUUCCCACGGGGGGUGGGGGGGGAGGAAGGUGACCUGGGGUGGGUGCAGGCCAGAGCGGGGAACGUGUUUCCUAGGCAGCCUGCAGGGAAGACUGAAAAUGCCCCAUGUUUGGGGGUGGGGGAGACGCUGAUGAGAGUCUGGGGAGCACAGGAGGGGCACAGGGAGAGGUGGAGAUGUGGCACUCAACUGGGGCUCCCGGGGACUUUUUUUUUGGCCACCCGCAGCAUAUGGAGUUCUGGGCCAGGGAUUAGAUCCCAGUUGCAGGUGCCACCUAGCCUGCAGCUGUGGCAAUGCCAGCUCCUUAAUCCACCGUGCCGGGCUGGGGUUCAAAUCUGCGUCCCAGUGCUCCUAAGACACUGCCGAUCCCAUUGCACCGCAGGGUUUGACUUUUAAUGCAGGGGUGACAGAUGGCUGGUCUGUCCACAUGCUGUCACAUGGGCAGCUCCUACGGGUCACCAGCACCCUUCCUCCGUUUCUUCAAGGGACAAAGCGACUUUGCUCUAGAGCAGAACACUGAUCGUCCCACACAUAUGUCCCUACUUUUGUUGCUGUCGCUGUGAGGUUUUUAAACUGGAGACCAUUUCACUUUCACACACCAACCACAAUGUCGAAUAAAUUGGUUGAACUUGUAGAUUUAUAUCCGCA
rnacentral:lncRNA from 1 species